rnacentral:rRNA from 1 species
CCCCUAGACGUUCUGGGCCGCACGCGCGCUACACUGACCAGUGCAACAAGCAUCCGUCCUUGGCCGACAGGCCCGGGCAAUCUUUGAACGCUGGUCGUGAUGGGGAUAGACUUUUGCAAUUUUUGGUCUUCAACGAGGAAUUCCUAGUAAACGCAAGUCAUCAACUUGCAUUGAUUACGUCCCUGCCCUUUGUACACACCGCCCGUCGCACCUACCGAUUGAAUGGUCCGGUGAAGCCUCCGGAUUGGCGCGCACCUCGGUGCCGCCGAGAAGUUGGCUAAACCUUACCAUUUAGAGGAAGGUGAANUCGUAACA